UGUGGACUAGGUCUAAGUCUUUAAUAGAAUCGUGAGUGUCCAUUGAGUUUACAUAUUACAAAUACACAGAUAAUGUUGCUUUGUUUGAAUGCAAAUGGGGUGUGAGAGAGGCUGACUUUUUAAUAAUGGUUGUUGUGGAUCUUGUAUCAAAUUUGUCUUAAGCCCUGUUUUCUUUCUCUCUCUCUCUCUCUCUCUCCUAUAUAAUUUGAAAAUUACAUUGCUGUAGUUUGCAAUGAAUUGUGGGAGCAUGCUAAAUGCAAAUUUUACAGUAUGUCUGCAAUAUUGUAUUUUUAAAAUAGGCUAAUAUGUAAAUGCUACAGGACAACAUGUAAUGACACUUAUUAUUUUAUUUUAUGUAUUUAUUGAAAAUGUCAGCUGUGGUACUAGUUUGGAAAUAAAAGCUUUGGCACUUUACAAUAACUGCAAUAAAUGCAGCCUAUUAAAUGAAUUAUAAACAUGCAUGUAGAUUCUUUUAAUGUACAAAUCUUUGUCAAAAAUAUUUGAUAAGAAACACAUUUAGACAACAUGUGCAUAGCGCAGUACGUGUGAUGUCACGACGUCAUCAGCAAAUUUGCGCGCGGUGCACAUGCGCAUUGCGAGUAUGCGCAGACAGGUGUCUACGGAGUGGAAAGAAGUUGUUGCAUCUGAUAAUUCUUCAAUCGUGUAGCAGCAACUGCAGCUUACAUGGAAUGAGGAUUAUCGGAUUCAUCUACACUCACUGAUCAUCCAAGGUGAAUUGAUGACCUCAAGCAAAUGGAUGUUGUUGUCAUCUGAAGAGAAGGUUGUCCUGGGCCCAUGUUUAGAGGCAUUUGGGGCAUAUCUGACACAUAUCAGAAUCAAGCUGCAUGCACACUUGAGUUUAUUCAGAGAGAAGUUGUGGGCAUCAGUCCGGAAACUGGAUCAAAAAUUUGCUGCUGGAAUGUGAGACAAAUAAAGGCAUGGAAUGAACCCAAAUGUAUGAACACUGCUACGAAAACUAAUGGACUUUAAAUGGCUUGCCAGUUAAUUCCAAUGGAAUUGAAGAAGAGACUCUGACAAGAUUUUCAAGUUUGUGUUUA